rnacentral:pre_miRNA from 1 species
CAGCGCCUUUCCCUCCGCCCACUCGGCUGCCACGCGGCAGCCGAGUGAGGGCCUCGGGGUGACGC